AUACUUACCUGGGCGGGGCCCAUCGCUGAUCCGGAAGGGCGAUGACCUACGACGAGCCUCGCCAUUGCACUUCGGCCGGGCAAAUCGUAGCAUUUCCCCAAGGGGAAAAUGCACGUCAUAAUUUGUGUCAGCGGAGGGCUCGCGUUCGCGCGGCCCUCCA
rnacentral:snRNA from 1 species